rnacentral:rRNA from 1 species
CCCUUAGAUGUUCUGGGCCGCACGCGCGCUACAAUGAUGAAUUCAACGAGUUUAUAACCUUGGUUGAAAAGCCUGGGUAAUCUUUUGAACUUUCGUCGUGAUGGGGCUAGACCCUUGCAAUUAUUGGUCUCCAACGAGGAAUUCCUAAUAAACGCAAGUCAUCAGCUUGCAUUGAUUACGUCCCUGCCCUUUGUACACGCCGCCCGUCGCACCUACCGAUUGAAUGGUCCGGUGAAAUCUUCGGAUUGAGACUUUGAUUUGUUUACUCAAAACGCUGUUUCAAGAAGUUGAUUAAACCUUACCAUUUAGAGGAAGGUGAAGUCGUAACA